rnacentral:ncRNA from 1 species
CCGCAACGACAGGGGAGCGCCCGUCGUCGGCGGGCUUGCCCGCCUGCGGCCACGGCGCUGAGAGUGCGGGCAGCCGCAGACCCUCGAACCUGCCCCGGUUCGCACCGGCGAAGGAAGUCGAGAAUCUCCCCGG